rnacentral:rRNA from 1 species
GUCUACGGCCAUACCACCCUGAACGCGCCCGAUCUCGUCUGAUCUCGGAAGCUAAGCAGGGUCGGGCCUGGUUAGUACUUGGAUGGGAGGAUAAAAAUUAGUUAAUUUAAUAACUCCAGGUGUGGAUGACC